UACAGAGGUCCCGAGCGUUGUUCGGAUUCACUGGGCGUAAAGGGUGCGUAGGUGGUGAGGUAAGUCGGAUGUGAAAUCUCCGGGCUCAACCCGGAAAUGGCAUUGGAAACUACCUUGCUGGAGGAUUUGAGGGGGGAUUGGAAUACUUGGUGUAGCAGUGAAAUGCGUAGAUAUCAAGUGGAACACCAGUGGCGAAGGCGGCACUCUGGGCCGGAACUGACGCUGAGGAGCGAAAGCGUGGGGAGCGAACAGG
rnacentral:rRNA from 1 species